UUGAAAAUGAAGGAAAGGGGACAUGAGCCGAGGAAUGCAUACAACCUUAAGAACAUAGAAAAAAUAAGGAAACAAACUCUCCCCUAGACCUUCCAGAAGAAACAAAGCCCCACCAACAUUUGACUUUAGCCCAAUGAGAUCUUGUUGGACUUCUAACCUACAGAACUGAAAGGUUAUAAAUUUGUGUGCUUCAAGCCACUAAGUUUGUGGUAAUUUGUUAGGGCAGCAAAU